AAGAUGGGUUAAAGUUUCAUCAUAUGUAUGUAUUUUGUACAGCUUAUAAAAUAAAUAUGUAUUCUGUACAUAUAGGCCCGUAGGACUUCCAUUUGUUUCCACUACAAUCAAACUCAAAAUUCUAGGGAUUACUCUCGUUACCCGCUUUCUCCUUCUCUUUCUUCUCUUUCAGUGGUGGAAGUGAAAAUGUUUCGAUCCUUGUGGUGUAGAGUAGGAGCAAAUCUGCAAACUACGACCCCCAUAAAUGGGGUACCUUCUCCAUCAUCAUCUAGGUAUGUUUUCCUCACACAGCAGGAUUCGAAUGUUAUCAAUAGAACUAGGGUUAGUUCCAUACUAAUGGUAAUAAUGUUAGGUCAUAUUCUUCUUCUGAUUCAUUUGUAGUUAAUUAUCUGAUCAAUUCAUGUGGAUUAUCUGAAAAUGAAGCUAUUAAUGUCUCUCAAAAAAUCAAAUUCAAAACCACAUCCCAACCAGAUUCAGUAUUAACAUUAUUUGAAAACUAUGGAUUCACUAAACCUCGCAUUUCAAAACUCAUCACUACGCGUCCAUCAAUUUUGUUGUUUGAUCCUCUUAAAACCCUAAAACCCAAAUUGGAUUUUUUCAAUUCUAAAGGGCUAGAUGGAAUAAAACUUUCCGAAGGACCCAAACAUUCUGACACUGAGCUUAAACAAUACUAUAAUCCCUUCAUUUGAUAUCCUUGAAAGCAUUCUUCAUACUCAAAGAAAUAUUUAUAAAUUCCUUAAACAAUCUACCUUUUGGGUUCUCAGAAUAAACGGGCUUAAGCAAUUGAGGGUCAAUGUAAAGCUUUUGAGAUGUGAAGGUGUCCCUGAAUCUUAUAUUAUUAAGUAUCUUAUCAUCAAACCUAGAUCGUUUAUGGCAGAUGCUGAUAAGUUUAAUAAGAUUGUUGAAAAGCUUAAAGGAAUGGGUUUCGACCCUUUAGCUACAACAUUUCUUCAAGCUAUAGAGAGAUUGACGUCGAUGACUGAAGCCACUUGGAGAAAAAAAAUGGAUGUUUACAAGAGACGGAGUUGGUCUGAGGAUCACUUACAUACAGCAUUUAGGAAAUGUCCUUCUUGUAUGAAGGCUUCUGAGAAGAAGAUUACGGCAGUUAUGGAUUUCCUUGUGAAUGAAAUUGGUUAUGAUUGAUUGGUUAUUGCGGAAAACUCAUGGAUUUUCACUUACAGCUUGAAGGAGAGGAUUAUCCCUAGGUGCUCUGUUAUAAGAAUUUUAGUCUCAAAGGGUCUGAUUGAGGAAAAAAUUUCUCUGGUAUCACUUGGAAGCCUGACAGAUAAGUCCUUUUCGGAUAAGUUUGUGACACCAUAUGAACAAGAAGCUCCUGCAUUAAUGAAGGUUUUCCGCGGUGAGUUGAAUUAGAGAGAGCUACUACUGUAAUGAAGGACUUGGUGAGAUGAAUAUGGGUCUAAUUAGGUUGAACGACUCUGCCUGUGUAGUUACUACACAGCCUGUCCCAAGCCAGGAUAAAGGAGGAGGGGGUCGCGAUUGGCGUGGCUAGCCGGUGACUGACCAAAAGAGGGUGAAAAUAGUACUAAGACGGGUGACCUCUUGGAGAAGUCCUCGUGUUAUACUUUUGGCGAGAGCAGUACUCAGUUGGGUGACAGCUUAGGAAGUCUUCAUGUUUCCUUUCUAGCUUACCCUAGCUUGUUUGGAACUAAAGGCUUCGAAGAAGAAAUCCAAUUAGGUUGAACAUUAAGUUUUGUUGAGUUUGAAAAGAACCAUCGCAGUUUGAAGCAUUACUGGGGUCUCAGAGUCGGAGGACAGCACACGAAGAUUAGAGGACUGUUGUUAUUCUUUUGUUCAGAGAAGUUAUUAUGGUGAGAAGUCUGUCUUUCUGCUUUAGAGUUGGAACAUGGGAGGACUAUAAUUAUGAUACUAGUAUUAGUUUAGGAUUUUGAAUAUUUCGGAAUUUGAAUGUCCUUCAUUUUUUCUUACUGAAAUCUAAAAUCUUAGACAAUAUUUUCAUAUGGGAACUUUUUUGUAUUUGGCUUUCUUAAUCGUCAACGAUAUCCUGCACCAACAUCUCAGGAAAUUUGAUUUGUUUUCAUUGUUUUCUUUUGAAGUUCAGUUUGAGUUUUGUCACUUUUUACCUUGUAUCAAGGAGACCUUCCUUGCUGUGCAUGUUUAGUUUCUCGACUGAGUAAUGUAAUGACAUUUCAUUGAACUCGAAAAGUUUAACAUAGUUUUAGGGUAUGUGCGAACCACAGUACACCUCCUUUAGCUUUAAGGCUCAACAAUAUAAUGACAUCCAGGAUCAAAGCAAUCAUGGCAGCCUGAUCACUUAUAUAGAUCAUGAUUAGAGUCCCAAAUUAUUUCAUUAAUAUCCAGCCUUCAGUUUUGUCAUUCUCUUUCUUUGUGUUCUGUAAUUUGUACUAAUUUGAGAAGAAAUUACUCCAAGAUCAUACCAGGACUUCAAAAACUUGUUGGAUUAUCCAGUACUGAGGGGAUAUAAGCUUAAGUUUAUAGUUUACUUCUCAGAUGCUAUGAACUAUUAGAGAUAGAUACUUUGCUCUCCAUUAAACAAAAAUAAAGUUUAUUUUUGGUUGAUUUCACAACUUUUUAUUUGGAAAAUCUUGUCUCUAUGCUCCUCUUAGUUUGAUGGCUGAAUAGAUGUAGUGAAAGCUUAUCAGAUUUAGUUGCUUAAUGACAGUGAAUUUUGCACCUCCUUCAUAUUUAUCGUUCUUCUGUUUGAUCUGCAAGGUCGAGAACUACUUAGCGACCCUGAAUAAGAAAACAUCUAUACUGUUUAACACAACAAGUUUCAUGGUAAGUGUUAGCUUGUUCAGUACUUGUCUAUUGCAGGGCGAAGCCCUAUUAGCUGUUGCAUUUUUAGUUUUUAGGAAGCAUAUUAUUGCUGAGGAUAAAGUGUUCUGCCCAAUUUACACUUUAGAAGCUGAGAAAUCUAGUAUACUUUGGACGCUCACUCACUGUAUAGUGUGUACGGCCAUCUUAACAAUGUAAUGUAUCUAUUAUCUGGAUGCCAUUUAAGGACGGCAUGCUUAAACAUGAGUUUUGCUUAACUUUAACCCUCAGUCUAUGAAUGUAGCGUCUGUAACAAUCACUGAUGGCUGCUAUAUGCCAAACCUGAGCAUAUAGGUUUGGAUUGGUCCAUGAGACGUUUACUUUGGCAGAUACCCUGCCACUCUCUUUCAACUUAAUCAGCUAAGUUCCCCAUAAGACUUUCUUUUCUGCCCACCUUGAUUUUUGUGCUGUUCUUUAAUAUUUUCGAUCUUUAAUGAGGUUUUAAUUGUAAUAUGGAUUGCAGAAUCUAGAGUAUCCCAACCUCGACUGUGGAAGAGAGGUCCAUUGACCAUUCGGUCUGAACCUCGUGUCAAUGCUAAGACAGCCAAGUUAAUCAGUAUUUGUUAUCAUGGCAAUUUUUUUAUAGAACCAGAAUGCUCUAUAGUCAUAAGCUUCACUAUAAGCAUCGCUAAAUUUCGCCAGUCCAGCUUCGAUUCUUUCCGGAGGAACAUAAACUUCAUUAGGAAAGUGUAAUAACCAGUCGGAAGAUUAUGAUCCGUGACUAACCAAUAAGGCUUAGGGAACCAUCAUGGUAUGAGGCAUUACUGGGGUCUCAGAGUUCGUGGACGGCAUACCAAGAUUACAGGUCGCGGAGGUAAGACUGUUGGUGUCUCCAAGAAACAUCGAAGACUGGUUGUUAUUCUUUUGAUUUGAGAAGUUCUUAAGAGUCUGGUGUAUUCAAACCUCGACUGUGGAAACCAUUCAGUCUGAGCAUCAUGGCUGUACGACACACAUGUACACUACACAUAUAGCUUUGCCGAUGCCAGAGUUAUAAUACAAUAUCUGCUGUCAUGGCAGAAUUUGGACCGCGUUGGCAAAAAAAGAUAGCCACAACAAAGCUUUUGAAUUAUAGAAUCCCAACGCUGGAUACGCCGGAAGCUUCACUAUAAGCAAGCAUCACUAAAUCUCGCCAGUCCAGCUCUGAUUCUUUCCAUAGGAACGCAAACUUCGUAAGGAACCUUUGUGGUCCGUGGACUGCACACCAAGACUACAGGUUGCAGGGGUACGACUGUUGGUGUCUCCAAGUCCAAGAAGCGUUGGAGACUGGUUGUUAUUCUUUUGACAGAGAAGAUUUAUGGUGAGAAGUCUUUCUGCUAUAGACUUUGGAACCUAGGACUUAAAUUAUGAUACUUGUAUAGUUUAGGAUUUUGAAUAUCUCCAAACUUUAAUUUCCUGCAUUUUUCUUACUGAAAUCUGUGACACCAUUUUGAGAUGGGGACUUCUCUGUACUUGGCUUUCUUAAUUGUCAACAGUUAGAUAUGCUGUCCCGAAAUCUCAGGAAACUUUAUUUGUUUUGAUUGUUUUCUUAUAAAGUUCAG